rnacentral:rRNA from 1 species
AGCGAACGCUGGCGGCAGGCCUAACACAUGCAAGUCGAACGAACUCUUCGGAGUUAGUGGCGGACGGGUGAGUAACACGUGGGAACGUGCCUUUUGGUUCGGAAUAACUCAGGGAAACUUGUGCUAAUACCGAAUGUGCCCUUCGGGGGAAGGAUUUAUCGCAAUUAGAGCGGCCCGCGUCUGAUUAGCUAGUUGGUGAGGUAACGGCUCACCAAGGCGACGAUCAGUAGCUGGUCUGAGAGGAUGACCAGCCACACUGGGACUGAGACACGGCCCAGACUCCUACGGGAGGCAGCAGUGGGGAAUCUUGCGCAAUGGGCGAAAGCCUGACGCAGCCAUGCCGCGUGAAUGAUGAAGGUCUUAGGAUUGUAAAAUUCUUUCACCGGGGACGAUAAUGACGGUACCCGGAGAAGAAGCCCCGGCUAACUUCGUG